UGCGCAGGCGGUUUUGUAAGAUAGAUGUGAAAUCCCCGAGCUUAACUUGGGAAUUGCAUUCGAUACUGGUUGGCUAGAGUAUGGGAGAGGAUGGUAGAAUUCCAGGUGUAGCGGUGAAAUGCGUAGAGAUCUGGAGGAAUACCGAUGGCGAAGGCAGCCAUCUGGCCUAAUACUGACACUGAGGUGCGAAAGCGUGGGGAGCAAACCGGAUUAGAUACCCGAGUA
rnacentral:rRNA from 1 species